UCUUCUGUGGCGCAAUUGGCUAGCGCGUACGUGAUUUAAUAUCGAGAGGUUGGAGGUUCGAGCCCUCCCAGAAGAG